AAUGAAUGAAUGAUCUGGUAGACAAUUAUCCCUCCACCUGGCCCUUAAGGGUUCCCUGUCUUUUACUCGUGAGCACAGGUAAAAGAUGUCUGGCUGCCAGGCUGUGAAAAUGUGAGGGUACCUAAGCAUGCACAUUGUAGCCCUCCUUGAAUGGCUUUAGAUCUUUGAACUGACUUGGCAUUUCAAAGCUGUACUGCAAUAUUGAAUUUUAGGUACAUGGAAGAGGCCUGGCAGGCCAUUCUUUCCACACAGCAGACAUGGAGAACAAGUCCAAUGCAGAUCACAUUUAGAGUAAAGCUGUCAAAUGUUUAGUAGCUGGCAAGUGGGAGCUCAGCCUAUUCCAUUAAUUAAUUUUCUUUGAUAUAAUCUUUCCCCUAGGGUGCUUUUCCAACUUAAAGCUAUGACUCUGAGUCUUACACUUUGAUAUCAGCUAUGACUACUAUAAUGGCCUGAGGAAAUUGGGUGAUUUAGAUCCAAGGCAAAAGGGACAGACCCAGGUCUGAGGAGUUAAUGAUUUUAAAAGGUGUGACCAGAGAGGAAGUGAGAGGAAGGGAAGGAAGGAAGGUUUGGUAAGUUAAUGGGCUCUGUUCUAGCAAUUCCUUUUAACCCACAUUUUUGUCCCUAAAUUGCAUUGGAGUUUUGCAACAGUUUCUUUUUUUAAUAAUCAGAGUAAUGAACAACUGGUGAAAUAAGGUGCUUUUUAGUGCUCUGACAGCAUUAAUUACUAGCAUAACUAACUCAAAGCCAGAGUAGUCACAGCAGAUCUAUAAUUCAAGAAGAAAAUUGUGUUCCAGGUCUCCCUAGAAGUAAAUAUGCAAUGCAGGAUCUAUGUGAUGACCUCUUAUGGAGUCUGGUAGAGAGAAGAUUAGAUUAUUUUAUCUCAGUGUUGCUUUUUAGUCUUAAUAUUUUCUUUUUCUUAUGUCAGUCAUGUUCCAGGAAAACAUCUCUAUUUUAGAGAGCAUUUAGCCAUAUGCUUACUCGGCAAAAUGACUUGCUUAAAUCUGUGAAUUCCUCUGUGACACAAGUACAUGCAAAACAGUUUGUCUGAAUUUGAUUUACAUUGAAGUUGGAAUUCACCAUGCCAGUAAAAGUGCUUUUUUUCCCGCACCAUCAUUAAAGUUGAUGUGAUCAUUAAGAGCAGCCUAAGUCUGCACUUGUAACUUUGGCUCAGAUCUGCCCAGUCCAGAUCCUGUGGGCUCUGGAAAGACAAAGUUUGGAUGCUUACAUAACUCCCCAACUUUGAUGUGGUUCAGUUUAUUUAUAACAGCAAGCUCUUGUGAAUAAUAAUUCCUGCUUCAAAGAGUUCAUAGUCAGCUUCAAGUUCUUGGCCCCACGCUGCUCCCCCUCCAGAGGAGCAGUCUGGUUAUCAGGGCACUUCCCUGCCGCCCGUGGGGGAGCGUGCACAGGGACAGUACCUCCAGUUUGAUUCCAGCUGGGCAAACCUCAGGACAAUGCCAUCAAUCAAUAAAGUAAUUCACUGGAUUGUCAACAUUUUCAGGCAUAAUUUUGAUGUUCAGUUUGAGCCUUUUGUCCUCUACUGUGUAUUUUUAGAGACUCUUGCCACUGGCAUUGGUGAAAUAUUUACAGAUGAAUUCUUUGACUUUCGAUGUCAUCCAAAUGCUCUAGGUGGCAAUUAAAACUCAAAAUAGAGCAGUGACAAAUUCAGAGUUGUGAAAAAUUUCAUUGCUCAGAACAAUAUUUUCACUUCAAUCCAUUCACUGAAUUUCUAUUGACACGUACAGGAAGUUUGCCCAAGGGCCCUUGAAGAAAGACAAAAUAUUUUGCCAGUAUUGCAUAAGGAUUCUAAAAGCAUUGUGUUUCACCAACCUGAUCUGACUUUCUGUCUUAAGAGAAAGGCACCAAGUACUCAGAAGAGAAAUUUCUGAAGGAAAAAAUUCAAAGGGAUUUUCCAGCCCUUUUGUUUGUGAUUAUAAAAACAACAUUGUGGAGUCUGAAGAUUCAGCAAGGAAUAUAGCUUGUGUUUCUGGAUUAAAUUGGACUUUUACAUUGCUAACUAACAUAUCAGGAGUGGUAUUCACCUACACUGUGGCCCUUUGAAGUGCUUUGUGGUGUGGAAAAUCACAUGUGGAGCCUUUUGUGGAGCGACUGGCUCAUCAUUUCAUCUUUCCAAGGGUGUGCUAUAACAUACCUCGUAUUUUCUUCCUAGGUCAGUAAUUUCAGGCCCUUAAUCACUUUUAUUGCUCUCCUGAAUGCAUUUUAAUUUCCAGUAGUUAGAACUUAAUGCAAUAUGCCCAGUGCAGUUGCAGCAAAGCCUCUAAGAGCUAAAAAGGACUUCAGUUAUCUCUUUGGUUUUUGACUGCAAUUAUGUUUUGCUUUAUUUGCUGCUAAUACCAAAAUGACAAAUUAUAUAUCUCCCAUCAUGGUAAUGAAUGUGCUCAAGCUAUUUACCACACACUAUAUAGAGCAACUAGUAUUUUUCUGACAUAGAUUGUGUUCCUUUUUGUUCUGUAUUUCUAGCCUGUUUCUGUGUCUUAUCUCUGUGAUUUCAUUAGCAUGCACAGAAGCUCUAGCCCAUUUAAGAGCUGUAUUCAUCUGCUCACAAUGGAUGAUCACCUUGUAACAAAAAAUCUGUCAGUUACAAGGAAUUAAGGCAAAAUAUGUCUGCCAUCAAGGAACAAACAAUCUCAAUACAACGCUGAGGCAGCACAGAAUUCACCUGGAGAAAAGAACAACACCACUCUUGUGGUUUAACCCAGAAUAUUUGUGAUGGGCACUACAGAAACUCCAUCCUCUUCUACAGAACAUAAAAGUUUUGAUAGGGCAGGGACUUCCUGAUUGGCAGAUGCUCUAGUGCUGGCCAGCCAGGUGGCUUUUGGUAAAUGUGUAUCUCUAAUGUUUGAAGGUCCCACCACCCACUGCUCUCAGUGUAGUCUUCAGCAAUCCUUUGCAUCAUUCCAUCUUCCCAGAGGCUGGGACAUGGUGUGGGAUGUCAUGCAUCCUCUCAGUGCCAAGUGUCUAUGAGACUGUUUCAGAAAUGGGUACCACUGUCUUAGUCAGUGCUUUCUGGGAGGCCAUAUCUCCCCAAAAUUUUCUUUUCAAGGCCCAGUGUAGCGUUCCAAGUGGUGGCAUGGGGCACAGGUUAUGUUUCCAGCCAUCCAGUGGUUGUUUUCACCAUUGUAAGAAGAUGGUUCUUGCCUUGGCAGGUUUUUGGGGCUGUUUAUAUAUUGAGUAAAAUUUUCUGUGGUGCAGAAGAUCUCUUUGGCCAGUUCAUGUCACCUGUUCUGCCCAUGCUCCCUCAUGACUCCUGUGCACCUGCUGAGAGCAGAUCACAGGACGCUGAAAAGUCCUUCACUCAGGCUAAGCCCUGCUCAGCCCCACAUGGAGUGUGUUAGCAGUUAGCAUUGUAGUAAAUUAAAAAUAAAGCACUGUACCAGCUACUAAGAAGAAAAUUAACUCUAUUUCAGCCAAAACCAGGGUGUGUUGACACAUGGGUGUCAACUGGGCACUCUUCAGAGGGAACAGAAGGAAAGAGGCACUUUCAGGGAGAGCUUUGUCUGGUCUGCUUUAGGCAUCUACCUUGGCAGGACACACCUUAAAGACUCUGUGUCUCUUCACUGAGUAAGUGGGGCAGGACUCUACUCUGUAGGUGUCUAAUGCAGGGUGAAAUGAAUCCUGUUUUAUUUCUCUCCAAUUUCAGCCCCAUUCAGAGUCAUGUGCAGCUGCAGAUUUCAGCUAUAGCAGCAGGUUUGGCAUCAGAAACUGAGGGGGGUGAUAAAUGAGAUGGAUCAGGACUAAUUUCCUAGGAUCUGCACAGACAAUAGGGAAUUUCUGCACCACCUAAGCACAGCUCUCAAAAUAAGAUAAUUACCAGCCUCUCUGUCCCACUUUCACAGUUUUAUAGCUUUGAUCAUGGGAGCCUUUGAGCCAGGCUCCUGACUCCCACAUUACAUAUGUACAGACUCCUGCACAACAAGCCCAUUUUGCCUAAGGACCCCCUGGGUGUGACUUGAGAAAUAACACUAGACUAAAAUAGGAUUUUAAUUUUCUCUAAAUAUAGUUCAAGUAGCCAGGCACAUUGCUGCUGGUGGAUACUUGGAUCAUAUGAUCAACCAUGAACACCUCCUGUAAAUAUCUUUCCUGCAAUAAAUACCACAGAAUUUAGUUUGCUGUUAUUUCUAAAAGCAAACUUCAGCUUCUGGAAGCUAAACAGCCUGAGCUACUUCUCAGGAUGAGAAGAAUGACUGAAGGGAGUGGGUAGAUGUGUUCAACAAAACAAGCAGCACAAUACCUUCAUAGAAGUGCUUUAUUUUUAAUUAAAGGGGACUUUUGUAAGUUGCCACUGUGCCUCAGUCUUCCUCACUUUAAGAGAUUAUGGCAGAGCAGUGCUCUGCAAGGUGGAAGAUAUUAAAAUUGAAAAUGUUGUUCAUUUAGUGCUGCUCCAGUACUGUCCAUCUCUCAAGGUCAUUAGCAAAUCUGCCUAAAGCCUCAUUUGACAGGCACUGAAGUUGCUCGAGUCUAAGCACUGUAAGGCUCAGUGGAAAUGAUGAGAUUUCACAAGCUAUAUUCAGCUUGCUAAGAUAUAAGCAGACACCCUCUGGGCACACUCAGGUCUCUCCAGCUGAGCAAGCUAGCCCAGGAGCCAGGGUUGACUUGGCCACUCUGUAACAUGUUCUCAGAAUGACAGAACAGAAGCCAGCAGGUCAGAAUGAUGGCCAUUAGACUGUUGCAAUUCACAAAAAAAAGUUUUAUUUCACCUUGGGCUGCAGAUUCAGUAUUGCUUAUUUCAGGAAAAAGCAGUAAUAAAUAAUGAGAGAAAACACCAGAUUUUCACAAGAUAAAUAGUCCCAAGGGCACAUGCAGGACAGAGGUCUUUUUUUUCCCAUGUCUUGCAAAAGAACUGGCUUCAUACUUGUUCUUUGUUCUUUUGUCCUACUUCUUGCAGAAGCAUCUUUGUUGAGACUUUAAAAAAUGGCACAGACCAUUAUUUACACUCCUGAGUUUUGCUCAGUCAUCCUCAGGAAUGGCUCUUUAUUCCAGAAAAAUGGGAGAGCUCCCUGGACUGCUCACACUGGAGACAGUGGCAGGCUUUGUUGUGACCCAGGCUUUUCUUGUCACAUACAAAAUGUUGACAGGAAUUAGUCUCCACUGGAAACCCCUGCCUGCCUGAGACAGAGGACAAUCCUGUGUUUAAACAAUCCUUAACAAUCCCUAGGAAUAGGAUAGUGGAAGGAUCUGCUGGGACAAGUCUCAUCUCCAGCUGUCACAUAUUAUCAAGUUCUAUCUA
rnacentral:lncRNA from 1 species